rnacentral:rRNA from 1 species
AUGAACGCUGGCGGCGUGCUUAACACAUGCAAGUCGAACGAUGAUCUCCAGCUUGCUGGGGGGAUUAGUGGCGAACGGGUGAGUAACACGUGAGUAACCUGCCCUUGACUCUGGGAUAAGCCUGGGAAACUGGGUCUAAUACUGGAUACGACCUUCCCACGCAUGUGGUGUUGGUGGAAAGCUUUUGUGGUUUUGGAUGGACUCGCGGCCUAUCAGCUUGUUGGUGGGGUAAUGGCCUACCAAGGCGACGACGGGUAGCCGGCCUGAGAGGGUGGACGGCCACACUGGGACUGAGACACGGCCCAGACUCCUACGGGAGGCAGCAGUGGGGAAUAUUGCACAAUGGGCGCAAGCCUGAUGCAGCGACGCCGCGUGAGGGAUGAAGGCCUUCGGGUUGUAAACCUCUUUCAGUAGGGAAGAAGCGAAAGUGACGGUACCUGCAGAAGAAGCGCCGGCUAACUACGU